UGUAAAAUGCACAAUAUUUCUCAGGCAUCUGUCACCUGAACAGGUUUACACCAUAGAUUUGGAGAAUGAAUACCAAAGUCAAGAAAAUAAAGAUAGAGUAAUACUUGUGGCAAGGUGAGAUACAGAAGAUGUCUGGAAGAAAUGGGAAUUAAAAACACAGUCAACACAAUGUUCGAUAGAAGAGAUGAGGAUGGACAUCUUUUCCCUGUUCCUGAUAUUAUGGAAAAGCCAAUUCAUAAUGGCAAUUGAUGCUUUACUUUUCCUAUCAAUCCUUCCACACUUCUAUAACCUGGUGUUAUAUAAAGGGAAAUAGAGAAAACAUUAGUCAGCUUUUAUAAAAUGUUAUAGCAAUUUGACAGAGUAAUAAGGCCUGUUGACUCUAAUAAUAAAAAGAUUUGUACAUUGUA